rnacentral:lncRNA from 1 species
ACAAACUUAUUUUUCCUGUCCCGUCAAAUUCCCCCACUUCUCCCUACUCUAUCUACUUGAGAAAACUUCUCUUCAUACAUAUGCCAUCACCUUUCGAAUUGAAGCCUAUUACUCACUUUGUGGUUUUAAUUGACGUUGCGUGUAUAUAGCUUCUUUAUUACCUUGUUGUUCAAAUCCUUGAAUUAUCCAAUCAUCAACCUCGUCCACAUUCCAUCCUUCAC